UGGAGGAAAGCAGGGGAUCGUAAGACCUUGCGCUUUUGGAGCGGCCGAUGUCUGAUUAGCUAGUUGGUGGGGUAAUGGCCUACCAAAGCUUCGAUCAGUAGCUGGUCUGAGAGGACGGCCAGCCACACUGGGACUGAGACACGGCCCAGACUCCUACGGGAGGCGGCAGUGGGGAAUUUUGGACAAUGGGCGCAAGCCUGAUCCAGCCAUGCCGCGUGAGUGAAGAAGGCCUUCGGGUUGUAAAGCUCUUUCAGCCGGGAAGAAAAGGCUGCGACUAAUAAUCGCAGUUCAUGACGGUACCGGAAGAAGAAGCACCGGCUAACUACGUGCCAGCAGCCGCGGUAAUACGUAGGGUGCGAGCGUUAAUCGGAAUUACUGGGCGUAAAGGGUGCGCAGGCGGUUUUGUAAGUCAGAUGUGA
rnacentral:rRNA from 1 species